rnacentral:rRNA from 1 species
GAUGAACGCUGGCGGCGUGCUUAACACAUGCAAGUCGAACGAAGCACUUUGAUUUCUUCGGAUUGAUGAGUGACUGAGUGGCGGACGGGUGAGUAACGCGUGGGUAACCUGCCUCACACAGGGGGAUAAUAGUUAGAAAUGACUGCUAAUACCGCAUAAUGUGUCUUGGGGGCAUCCCCGAGAUACCAAAGCUUUAUGUGCUGAAAGAUGGCCUAGCGUCUGAUUGGCUAGUUGGUGGGGUAACGGCCCACCAAGGCGACGAUCAGUAGCCGGUCUGAUAGGAUAAACGUCCACAUUGGAAAUGAGAUACGGCACAGACUCCUACGGGAGGCAGCAGUGGUGGAUAUUGGGCAAUGGGGGAAACCCUGACCCAGCAACGCCGCGUUAAGGAAGAAGGCCUUCGGGUUGUAAACUUCUUUUAGUAGGGACGAAGAACGUGACGGUACCUACAGAAAAAGCAACGGCUAACUACGUGCCAGCCGCCGCGGUAAUAC